UGCAAGUUGAACGCUUGAUUUUCACCGAAGCUUGCUUCACCGAAAAUCAAGAGUAGCGAACGGGUGAGUAACGCGUGGGUAACCUACCUUUCAGCGGGGGAUAACUAUUGGAAACGAUAGCUAAUACCGCAUAACAAUGUUGGAUGCAUAUUCGACAUUUGAAAGUACCAACUGGUACACUGAGAGAUGGACCCGCGUUGUAUUAGCUAGUUGGUAGUGUAAUGGACUACCAAGGCGAUGAUACAUAGCCGACCUGAGAGGGUGAUCGGCCACAUUGGGACUGAGACACGGCCCAAACUCCUACGGGAGGCAGCAGUAGGGAAUCUUCGGCAAUGGACGAAAGUCUGACCGAGCAACGCCGCGUGAGUGAAGAAGGUUUUCGGAUCGUAAAACUCUGUUGUUAGAGAAGAACGUUGCAUAGAGUGGAAAAUUAUGCAAGUGACGGUAUCUAACCAGAAAGGGACGGCUAACUACGUGCCAGCAGCCGCGGUAAUACGUAGGUCCCGAGCGUUGUCCGGAUUUAUUGGGCGUAAA
rnacentral:rRNA from 1 species